UGAGGUUUCACCCUAUUACAAUCCCUCUUCCCAGCAAUCAAAGCUGAAAUCGAUUCUGCUGGCUCAGGUGGUAUUGCUCCCUGACUUGCCCAGACAACACACUUCCCUUCGGUGCUGGAGACGGGCCUGCCUGAGUUCUUGGAUUCUCUCAAUUCUGGACAAGGAAACUGUGCUGUAUGCACAAUGAGCGACAUUCCCUUCCCUGAAAAGCUUCUAGUCUAAACAGACGAGAGACAAAGGAUUGCAGAAAAAAAAGUGGUAUUAUCCCCAUUUUACAGACCAGUCGAGCGCUGAAUCUGACCGAGUCACUUUGGAAGUUUCUGGCCCCCUGCUAUAUUCCAUGAACCACAUUCCCUGAAAUGUGGCAUUGCUUUAUAUUUCACAGCACCCAUAAUGUGGAUUUAUCAAAGUUCACCAUGGCAACACCCAGGCAGUCUGAGACAAGUAUGCAUAUGAGCCUAGAAACAGGACAAAACAAACUGAAAUCGCCCUCUUCCCCUCCUGCCCCCUUCCUUCAACCCCUAACUCUGACAAAUUCUGUAUUACCUCAGAAGUGAUUA